GGGCUCUAUGUCCAAAGCCGUAAAAAAUGGACACUUAUUAAAAAAGCUUUGUGGAUUGUAACAACGAGGCACGUAUUUGUAAAUGAAAUUAAUAAAACGCAUAAGUGGCGAUAAUCCUAAUACUCAUCUUAGAUCACGUAAUAUUCAGCUUUAAUUGUAUUCUAUUAAUAACUUUAUCGAAGAAUUGGAGGCACCGAGACGAAUGGAUUGAUAACCUUAGAUGCUGCUGCGUUUUCACAUCUUUCUAUGAUUUUCAUCCAGACCAGUUCAUAAUGGCAGAUAAAAUUAAGGUCAAGUCUAACUUUGACGUAAAAGGCAACUAUGAGCCUUCAGAUUCUGAUGAAUACACUCCCCAGGAAAAGAAACUACUAGACAAGGUACGGAAAAGAAAACACAAUGAAUCAGAAAGUGAA